AGUGGUGCAAUCUCAGCUCACUGCAACCUCCACCUCCUUGGGUUCAAGUGAUUCUCGUGUCUCAGUCUCCCGAGUAGCUGGGAUUACAGGCGUAUGACACCACAGCCAGCUAAUUUUUGUAUUUUUGGUAGAGACGGGGUUUUACCAUGUUGACCAGGAUAUCUCAAACUCCUGAUCUCAAGGGAUCCAUCUGCUGUGGCCUUGCAAAGUGCUGAGAAUACAGGAGAAGCUUCAAAUGAGAGAAAGAGACAACAUCAUGAGCUCAAGAUUCUGCACCAUAUCAAAGGAGAAGACUUGCACCAUUGGGAUGUGGGAUCUUGCUAUAUUGCCCAGUCUGGACUUGAACACCUGGGCUCAAGUGAUCCUCCUGCCUUAGUCUCCUAGAAGCUAGGACUGCAGGAAUGUGCCACCAUGCCUGGCUCUCUAUUCAUUUAAACUGCAUAUUAAUCUUUCACAUAUGCUGUAACUUACUCAUAUGUAAUGACUUAUAUAUAUAAUUACUACUUUCUUCAUUUAGGCUUCUGAUCUAUCUGUUUAUCUUUGCAAAUUAUUAUUUAUUUUGUAUCGUGUUGUUUGAUAUGCAUAUUAUGAUUUCUCAGUAGGCUAUUUAAAAAUAUUUAACAAACAAAUAUUAAUUUAAGUCUGGAUAUGUUUAGUAAAUGAAAUAUCUCUUUCUUGCUUUUCUUACUAAGAUAAAAUAUUUUUUAGUGUUGAAACUAUUUUUACAUCAAUUCUUAUAUUAAAAUAAUCUAGUUUUUAAAAAAUUGUUUUAUUAUAUUACAUAUUCAAACAUAAUCUUUUAUAGUAGCUGUAAACUCUAGAGUAGUCAGAUAUUAGCAAGACAGAAAUGUGACUGAGAGAUGAAAUUAUCUUUUUAAAAUGAUAAGAAGUAAAACACUUAAAGUAAAUGUUUAUUUGCCUAAACAAAUACUAAUCUAUGAAUGCAUUUUAAGCACCUAUAUAUUACAUAAAUGUUAAAUUACUAUAUAUCUUUCAUACUAACUAUAAGUUUCAAACCUUGUUUUCAAAAGAAAUAUUUUUUUCAGGUGUUCUUUUCCUUAAGUUCAUUGUUAGAAUUUCAUUGAGGCUUCAAGGGCACUAAAUUAUCUAGCAAAAAAAAUCUCUUUGGGGAAUCUCAACCUUUGAAGUCAUUGUGAUUUGUAACUUUAUCUUGCUAUUUUUCUCUAUUUGUUUUAUUUGUUUGGUUAAUUUAUAUGGAAAUUACUUUCAUUUGCACUGUUUUCUCUAUUGACAUAAUUUAGCUCAAAUCUCCAAUAGUACAGAAAAAUGAUAACUGAAGAUUCAAGUAUUAAAAUGGCCUGCCCUUUAUCACACAGCUGGUUCAUAUAUGUAUUUACAUUUCUUGGCUGCCAGUGAUCUUUAUUCCCCAGGAUCCUGCUACUUCAAGUAUAAUUUAGAAUUUUAAUUUUGUUAUUAUCAUAAAAUCAUCUUAGUUGUUACAGUUUCUUCCUCCUAAAAUACAAUUUUUAUGAACUUGAAUCCAUAGUAAGUACCUAUGUAAUUGCUAUCUUCUUUCUAGUUAACCUGAUACUCUCUGGAGUUACAGCACAAUGCACAUGACAUCCAUAAACUUCAGUGUUGCAACAAUAGAUGGAGAAAGUGAGCUUUAAUUCAGUUGCAGCAGAAUGGUACAGAAAGGUGGAAUGAUUUGCUUGUAAUUUUAUAAUACAGGAAAUCAUUCUAUAAGCACAUUUUCCCAUUAACACUUAAAAAAAACUAUGUGGUUAUUUAUAGUAAGUGUUUAACAGAAUCCUGCUGUGAGAACAUGAACCAUUGAUAUUAUUUAUAUUAAUUCUGGCUAUUCAUGCUGUCUUAUAAUUAGCUUCUACAUGGUUUUAAGAUUGUUUUCAAUAAUUGAACGGGAAGUUGGAGUUGAUGGAGUCUUGUAUGAUAAUCAAAAGGUUUUAUCUAUAAUCAAAAUUAUAGGAUAAUGACAUCAUUGAGAUAGUGAUAAAUAUAUCACAAUUAAAAAUACAUAAUGAUAAUUCUCAUUAGAAAACAAAUGUGCCCACUAAGAUUUUUGAGAGAUUACUUUAUCUCCAUUAAAAUAACCUGGCAUUUGAGUAGGAAUGAUUUUGUUUAUUGUGGGGAUUUAAAUGAUAAAAUAGUCACUUGGGUUUUUGUUAUUUACAAUGUUAAUAACUGUUAACAGUAUAAACAAUUUAAUAAAUCUCAGAAUCCACAAUGAAUUGAAUGAUCAAUUACGUCUAUUAUCACUUAAUCAAGUCUGGUUUUUUGAAUUAUAGUUAUUAACAUGUAAGUGCUUUCAAGUUCUUUAACGGAUUUGUUAUUUUCAGAGGUAUUAAAAUUCUUAG
rnacentral:lncRNA from 1 species